rnacentral:rRNA from 1 species
ACGCUGGCGGCGUGCCUAAUACAUGCAAGUCGAACGCACAGCGAAAGGUGCUUGCACCUUUCAAGUGAGUGGCGAACGGGUGAGUAACACGUGGACAACCUGCCUCAAGGCUGGGGAUAACAUUUGGAAACAGAUGCUAAUACCGAAUAAAACUUAGUGUCGCAUGACACAAAGUUAAAAGGCGCUUCGGCGUCACCUAGAGAUGGAUCCGCGGUGCAUUAGUUAGUUGGUGGGGUAAAGGCCUACCAAGACAAUGAUGCAUAGCCGAGUUGAGAGACUGAUCGGCCACAUUGGGACUGAGACACGGCCCAAACUCCUACGGGAGGCUGCAGUAGGGAAUCUUCCACAAUGGGCGAAAGCCUGAUGGAGCAACGCCGCGUGUGUGAUGAAGGCUUUCGGGUCGUAAAGCACUGUUGUAUGGGAAGAACAGCUAGAAUAGGAAAUGAUUUUAGUUUGACGGUACCAUACCAGAAAGGGACGGCUAAAUACGUGCCAGCAGCCGCGGUAAUACGUAUGUCCCGAGCGUCAUCCGGAUUUAUUGGGCGUAAAGCGAGCGCAGACGGUUUAUUAAGUCUGAUGUGAAAGCCCGGAGCUCAACUCCGGAAUGGCAUUGGAAACUGGUUAACUUGAGUGCAGUAGAGGUAAGUGGAACUCCAUGUGUAGCGGUGGAAUGCGUAGAUAUAUGGAAGAACACCAGUGGCGAAGGCGGCUUACUGGACUGCAACUGACGUUGAGGCUCGAAAGUGUGGGUAGCAAAC